rnacentral:rRNA from 1 species
GACGAACGCUGGCGGCGUGCUUAACACAUGCAAGUCGAACGGAAAGGCCCUGCUUUUGUGGGGUGCUCGAGUGGCGAACGGGUGAGUAACACGUGAGUAACCUGCCCUUGACUUUGGGAUAACUUCAGGAAACUGGGGCUAAUACCGGAUAGGAGCUCCUGCUGCAUGGUGGGGGUUGGAAAGUUUCGGCGGUUGGGGAUGGACUCGCGGCUUAUCAGCUUGUUGGUGGGGUAGUGGCUUACCAAGGCUUUGACGGGUAGCCGGCCUGAGAGGGUGACCGGCCACAUUGGGACUGAGAUACGGCCCAGACUCCUACGGGAGGCAGCAGUGGGGAAUAUUGCACAAUGGGCGGAAGCCUGAUGCAGCAACGCCGCGUGCGGGAUGACGGCCUUCGGGUUGUAAACCGCUUUCGCCUGUGACGAAGCGUGAGUGACGGUAAUGGGUAAAGAAGCACCGGCUAACUACGUGCCAGCAGCCGCGGUGAUACGUAGGGUGCGAGCGUUGUCCGGAUUUAUUGGGCGUAAAGGGCUCGUAGGUGGUUGAUCGCGUCGGAAGUGUAAUCUUGGGGCUUAACCCUGAGCGUGCUUUCGAUACGGGUUGACUUGAGGAAGGUAGGGGAGAAUGGAAUUCCUGGUGGAGCGGUGGAAUGCGCAGAUAUCAGGAGGAACACCAGUGGCGAAGGCGGUUCUCUGGGCCUUUCCUGACGCUGAGGAGCGAAAGCGUGGGGAGCGAACAGGCUUAGAUACCCUGGUAGUCCACGCUGUAAACGGUGGGUACUAGGUGUGGGGUCCAUUCCACGGGUUCCGUGCCGUAGCUAACGCUUUAAGUACCCCGCCUGGGGAGUACGGCCGCAAGGCUAAAACUCAAAGGAAUUGACGGGGCCCCGCACAAGCGGCGGAGCAUGCGGAUUAAUUCGAUGCAACGCGUAGAACCUUACCUGGGUUUGACAUGGAUCGGGAGCGCUCAGAGAUGGGUGUGCCUCUUUUGGGGUCGGUUCACAGGUGGUGCAUGGCUGUCGUCAGCUCGUGUCGUGAGAUGUUGGGUUAAGUCCCGCAACGAGCGCAACCCUUGUUCACUGUUGCCAGCCCGUUAUGGUGGGGACUCAGUGGAGACCGCCGGGGUCAACUCGGAGGAAGGUGGGGAUGACGUCAAGUCAUCAUGCCCCUUAUGUCCAGGGCUUCACGCAUGCUACAAUGGCUGGUACAGAGAGUGGCGAGCCUGUGAGGGUGAGCGAAUCUCGGAAAGCCGGUCUCAGUUCGGAUUGGGGUCUGCAACUCGACCUCAUGAAGUCGGAGUCGCUAGUAAUCGCAGAUCAGCAACGCUGCGGUGAAUACGUUCCCGGG